rfam:Ovis aries breed Texel chromosome 2, whole genome shotgun sequence.
UCCCUGGUGGCUCAAACAGUAAAGAAUCUGUCUGUAAUGCAGGAAGCCUGGCUUCAAUCCCUAGCUUGGGAA